ensembl:snRNA U1 U1 spliceosomal RNA
AAAAAAAAAAAAGUUCACCCAGGGCGAGGCUCGUCCAUUGCACUUCGGCCAUGCUGACCCCUGUGAAUUCCCCAAAUGUGGGAACCAUGACUGCAUGGUAGUGGGGGACUGCGUUCGCGGUCUCCCCUG